GACGAACGCUGGCGGCGUGCUUAACACAUGCAAGUCGAACGUGAUUUUUGUGGAAAUUCUUUCGGGAAUGGAAAUGAAAUGAAAGUGGCGAACGGGUGAGUAACACGUGAGCAACCUACCUUACACAGGGGGAUAGCCGUUGGAAACGACGAUUAAUACCGCAUGAGACCACAGAAUCGCAUGAUAUAGGGGUCAAAGAUUUAUCGGUGUAAGAAGGGCUCGCGUCUGAUUAGCUAGUUGGAAGGGUAAAGGCCUACCAAGGCGACGAUCAGUAGCCGGUCUGAGAGGAUGAACGGCCACAUUGGAACUGAGACACGGUCCAAACUCCUACGGGAGGCAGCAGUGGGGAAUAUUGCACAAUGGGGGGAACCCUGAUGCAGCGACGCCGCGUGAGCGAAGAAGGUUUUCGAAUCGUAAAGCUUCUGUCCUAUGAGAAGAUAAUGACGGUAUUCAUAG
rnacentral:rRNA from 1 species